rnacentral:rRNA from 1 species
UACAGAGGUCCCAAGCGUUGUUCGGAUUCAUUGGGCGUAAAGGGUGCGUAGGCGGCGCGGUAAGUCGGGUGUGAAAUCUCGGAGCUUAACUUCGAAACUGCAUUCGAUACUGCCGUGCUUGAGGACUGGAGAGGAGACUGGAAUUUACGGUGUAGCGGUGAAAUGCGUAGAUAUCGUAAGGAAGACCAGUGGCGAAGGCGGGUCUCUGGACAGUUCCUGACGCUGAGGCACGAAGGUCAGGGGAGCAAACGGG